GACCGGAUGGCGCAGCGGUUAGCAACUCUGACUACUGAGCCGAAGGUCCCGGGUUCGAUUCCCGGCCGGGGCA
rnacentral:tRNA from 1 species